GGGGAUUCCGCCGGAUUACCCGGCGUGCCCCGCGGCAAAAUGGCGGCCUAAGAUUCAGAGAAGGAACUGGGACCUAUAAAGGACCUAUAUAAAAUGAAGUAAUGAAUUUUUACUAAAUCUUCAGAUAGCAGGAGCUGUUGGCCAGAUGCUGCUGAAUACUGACAGGAGAAAGCUGAUUCAGAGACAAACGACCAGAAAUGUUUGGACAUGUCGUCACUUUGGAUCUGUCAUCUGAGUGAGUGUCCUGGCUUCAUGAGGCUUUGAAUUUGAGCCCAGGCUGGUAACCUGCUUUC
rnacentral:lncRNA from 1 species